rnacentral:rRNA from 1 species
GACGAACGCUGGCGGCGUGCCUAAUACAUGCAAGUCGAGCGAAUGGAUUAAGAGCUUGCUCUUAUGAAGUUAGCGGCGGACGGGUGAGUAACACGUGGGUAACCUGCCCAUAAGACUGGGAUAACUCCGGGAAACCGGGGCUAAUACCGGAUAAUAUUUUGAACCGCAUGGUUCGAAAUUGAAAGGCGGCUUCGGCUGUCACUUAUGGAUGGACCCGCGUCGCAUUAGCUAGUUGGGGAGGUAACGGCUCACCAAGGCAACGAUGCGUAGCCGACCUGAGAGGGUGAUCGGCAACACUGGGACUGAGACACGGCCCAGACUCCUACGGGAGGCAGCAGUAGGGAAUCUUCCGCAAUGGACGAAAGUCUGACGGAGCAACGCCGCGUGAGUGAUGAAGGCUUUCGGGUCGUAAAACUCUGUUGUUAGGGAAGAACAAGUGCUAGUUGAAUAAGCUGGCACCUUGACGGUACCUAACCAGAAAGCCACGGCUAACUACGUGCCAGCCGCCGCAGUAA